rnacentral:rRNA from 1 species
UACGUAGGGUGCGAGCGUUGUCCGGAAUUAUUGGGCGUAAAGGGUGCGUAGGCGGCGUGGUAAGUCUGGUGUGAAAGGCGGGGGCUCAACCCUCGGACUGCAUUGGAUACUGCCAUGCUAGAAGACUGGAGAGGAGAAUGGAAUUCACGGUGGAGCAGUGAAAUGCGUAGAUAUCGUGAGGAAGGCCAGUGGCGAAGGCGAUUCUCUGGACAGUACUUGACGCUGAGGCACGAAGGCUGGGGGAGCGAACAGG